AUACGGAGGACGCGAGCGUUAUCCGGAUUCAUUGGGUUUAAAGGGUGCGCAGGCGGCCGUGCAAGUCAGCGGUGAAAGCCCGGGGCUCAACCCCGGAAGUGCCGUUGAUACUGCAUGGCUGGAAUGCGGUCGAGGCGGGCGGGACGUGGCGGGUAGCGGUGAAAUGCGUAGAUAUGCCACAGAACGCCGAUAGCGGAGGCAGCUCGCCAGGCCUGCAUUGACGCUCGGGCACGAAAGCGUGGGGAUCGAACAGGAUUAGAUACCCUGGUAGUCCACGCCGUAAACGAUGGGCGCUCGUCGUCGGCGGCAGACAGUCGGCGGCCAAGCGAAAGCGAUAAGCGCCCCACCUGGGGAGUACGGUCGCAAGGCUGAAACUCAAAUGAAUUGACGGGG
rnacentral:rRNA from 1 species